rnacentral:rRNA from 1 species
GACGAACGCUGGCGGCGUGCUUAACACAUGCAAGUCGAACGGAAAGGCCCUGCUUGUGUGGGGUGCUCGAGUGGCGAACGGGUGAGUAACACGUGAGUAACCUGCCCUUGACUUUGGUGUAACUUCAGGAAACUGGGGCUAAUACAGGAUAGGAUCUCAUGCUCGAUGGUGGGGGUGGGAACGUUUCGGCGGUGGGGGAUGGACUCGCGGCUUAUGAGUUUGUUGGUGGGGUAGUGGCUUACCAAGGCUUUGACGGGUAGCCGGCCUUAGAGGGUGACCGGCCACAUGGGGCCUGAGAUACGCCCCAGACUCCUACGGGAGGCAGCAGUGGGGAAUAUUGCACAAUGGGCGCAAGCCUGAUGCAGCAACGCCGCGUGCGUGAUGACGGCCUUCGGGUUGUAAACCGCUUUCGCCUGUGACGAAGCGUGAGUGACGGUAACGGGUAAAGAAGCACCGGCUAACUACGUG